rnacentral:tRNA from 1 species
GGAGACGUGCCCGAGGAUUAGGGGCUAUUUUGAUAAAAUAGACACAGAGACCAAAUCUCUCUCGCCUCCC